ensembl:lncRNA
CCCGUUCCUGAAACACUGCCACAGGGGCUCCUCCUUUGUGACGUCUCAGGGACCCAUCACCGGGGCAACGGUGAACGUCAUUGUGACCCAGGAGCAGCUCGUGCCUCUAGCGUGCGCACUGGCGAGGCCGAAUCUACUCGUGCCUGGCUCUGGGAAGUCAGGCUGUGGCCCCUUUAAUAAAUGGCUGCGGCAGAUUUGGGGAGGCCUCGGAACGGGACGUGGGGGAGACCAAGCCAGGUUCAAACCCAUAGGAUUCGUGUCCUCCGGGCCUCCGUGAGCAAGCGGUCUUCUGCUUCGGCUCCUGCGGAAGAAGAGAUUCAGGGCUCCCGAUGGGCUCUCCUGGCUCCGCCUCAGAUGCUAUUUUGGAUCCCACCUCUAGAGAAGGCUGGAGAACAGACACGGGAGAGCUGCUGCAUAAAAACUGCACAUUUACAGAACACUGCAUGGAAAAGAUGCAAAAAGACAGCCUCAGCCUCUGCCUCACUCGUGCCUCCAAAAUCUUGUGCAGAUUCCCAUAAGUGCAACAUGCCCAGUUUCUCUAUAACCUUUCUUGUUCAUCCCCAAGAGAGAAGGAAUUAUUUGUCAAAUGCUAAUUUUGAGAAUAAAGUAAAAAUGCUUGGAUAAUUACUUUCUUUUUUCUCUUUAGAAAUCAGGCACAAAGAGCAUACAUUCUGUUCCCUUCCUCCAUUUGCAAGUUUCCAGGCAUGGGGUCCACUCAUGUGUGAUACAGCCCUGCUUGGGACAGAGUAGAUAACUCUGUCUAUUUGUGGGGUUCACUACUAAUAAACAGAGUGCCUGCAGUUAAAAGCCAUGUUCAUCAACAUCAGUCUUAGCAGUAAUGACGGCAGUUUAGCUCUCGUCUUCUCGCUUGAUUUAUGUCUUAUUAAACUUGAAAUUGGAGAGAGAAAGUGCCACUGUAUAAUGGGGCCACAUAAAACAACUCUGAAAGAAUUGAGUUCCCAUUUUCAGAGCGACCACUUAACUCACUUCAAAAAUUUUUAUUGAACAUUUACUAUGUCCAGACUCUCUACUAUGUACUGAGAAUACGUAGCAGGUACUCUCAAUGGACAAAACAGCUAACUUCACUUCCUUAUUCAUUUAUUCGUUUGGACAAUAAUUAUAUAUUGAGCAUCUGUUCUAUGUGCUUGAUAUGCAUAGCUUAAAGUAAAGAAACAGAAAAUGAGAUAUAUACCUUGUGGAACUUUAUUUUAUUAGGGAAGAUAGACAACAAAUGUAAUAAGUGAACAAAUUAUAUAAUAUGUUAGAAGGUGUUCCAUACUACAAAAAAGGGGGAAAAGAAACAGUAGAGAAGGGUAGGGAAUAAGGACAGUUGAGGCAGUAUUAUGAUUUGUAAUAGGUUAAUCAAGGUAAGUCUCGUGGAGCGGUUGAGCAAAAAAGUGGCAGAAUGUGAGGAGUUAGCUUUGUAAGCAUCUGGGAAAACUAGACAAGGAGAACAGCCAGUGUGAAGGCCCUCAGGCAAGUCCAUGGUUGGUGUGCCUGUAAGGGAACAGUAAGGAGGGACUGUGUGGCAGGAGUAGAAAGAACCAAGGGGCCAAUAGAGGAGCCCAGGGUAGACAUAAACCACGGGGCGGGAGCAUGUCGUGCCUUGCAGGCCGUUGUCAGGACUCUGAUAUUUAAUGGAAUUGCUCUGGCUCCUGUAUUAAGAAUGACUCGCGAGCCGGGCGCGGUGGCUCAAGCCUGUAAUCCCAGCACUUCGGGAGGCCAAGGCGGGUGGAUCACAAGGUCAAGAGAUUGAGACCAUCCUGGUCAACAUGGUGAAACCCUGUCUCUACUAAAAAUACAAAAAAUUAGCCGGGCAUGGUGGCGCGUGCCUGUAAUCCCAGCUACUCAGGAGGCUGAGGCAGGAGAAUUGCCUGAGCCCAGGAGGCGGAGGUUGCGGUGAGCCGAGAUCGCGCCAUUGCACUCCAGCCUGGGUAACAAGAGCGAAACUCCGUCUCAAAAAAAAAAAAAAAAAAAAAGAAUGACUCGCAAACCGAUCGAUCCAAGAUGGCCGACCACUAACAGCUCAGGAUUGUAGCUCCCAGUGAAAGCCCAGAGAACGAGACGACGCCACACUUUUAGACGAAUUUUCGUCACUCACCGAUCAGCCGAUUCCUAGUGGAGGAGCCCCACGGGUCGCCAGCGCGACUCUUGUGGCCGCCGCAGCGGUUUUGCCGGCGUCUCGGCGCAGCAGCUCUUCAUGCAGAGCCAACGGGACUGCUUCCCCUACUGACCGGAGUGUGGAGCUCCGGGAAGUCAGAGCUGCUUGUUGCAGACUCAAGAGGGAAGCCAGACCAGAGAUUCCCGGGCAGAAGAGCACCAUCAGUCUUAUCGCUGCUAUUUAGGCUGCCACAGUGGGUGGCUCGGAUCCCAGCACUGGGAAUCAGUAAGUCGGACGUUGACUCAGAAAACUAAUUAGAAAGGCAGUUCAUCUAAAAUGAAGGGAAAAAAACAGCCUAAGAAGGCCGAGUAUGCUCAAAAUCAGAACCCAUCAGCAACGGAACAAGCCCUGAUGGAAAAUGACUCAUCAGUAAUGGAACAAGCCCUGAUGGAAAAGGACUCAUCAGCAACGGAACAAGCGCUGAUGGAAAAGGACUGUGUUCCAUUAUCUGAAGUAGGCUUUAAAAGGUGGAUGACAAGAAACUUCUGGGAGUUAAAGGAACUUGUUCUAACCCAAUGUAAAGAAACUAAGAACUUGGAAAAAAGGUGAGAUGAAAUGUUGAAAAGAAUAGACAAUAUAGAGAGGAAUACAAAUGAACUUAUGGAGUUGAAAAAUACAACACGAGAACUGAGUGAAAUAUGUACAAGCUUAAACAGCCAAAUGGAUCAAGCAGAAGAAAGGGUA